rnacentral:rRNA from 1 species
AUUGAACGCUGGCGGCAUGCCUUACACAUGCAAGUCGAACGGUAACAGGUUAAGCUGACGAGUGGCGAGCGGGUGAGUAAUGUAUCGGAACGUGCCCAGUCGUGGGGGAUAACUGCUCGAAAGAGCAGCUAAUACCGCAUACGACCUGAGGGUGAAAGCGGGGGCUCGCAAGACCUCGCGCGAUUGGAGCGGCCGAUAUCAGAUUAGGUAGUUGGUGAGGUAAAGGCUCACCAAGCCGACGAUCUGUAGCUGGUCUGAGAGGACGACCAGCCACACUGGGACUGAGACACGGCCCAGACUCCUACGGGAGGCAGCAGUGGGGAAUUUUGGACAAUGGGCGCAAGCCUGAUCCAGCCAUGCCGCGUGCGGGAAGAAGGCCUUCGGGUUGUAAACCGCUUUUGUCAGGGAAGAAAAGGUUCUGGCUAAUACCUGGGACUCAUGACGGUACCUGAAGAAUAAGCACCGGCUAACUACGUG